AGACCACAGGUGGCACGGCUCGUAGGGCUCAGAACAGAAUCUGGCUCUCCAAGAAGAUGGGUCAGAGCAGGGCUGGAGACCAGAAGCAGAAACUGUGGUUUGAGAGAGCACCUUGAAAAAAAGAAAAAAAGUGUCUGGAGCACUGAGAUGCAGAUUUGAUCCUGGCCUGACACCGCGGGUUAGGAUCUCGUGUUGCUGUAGCUUUGGCGUGGGUCACCACUGCGUCUUGGGUCUGAUCCCUGGCCUGGGAACUCCACAUGCCACAGGGCGGCCAAAAAAGAAGAAGAAAAAAGAGAGUACUUUGAUUACAUAUGUUAAGGUGGCCAAGUGUUUAGUGCUUAGAACCAGGGCUGCAGAUUGGAAAUGCGUCUUGCAGCAACAAGACUUAAUGCUGACACUUCAGCUAUGGAGCCACAGUCCAGUGUCCUCUCCUCCUGCUCCUCUAGGAUGUCCAGAAACUUCUUUGCAUCGCUUUGAAUGCCAUCCGCUCUCUGCUGCUCUCUCCUUGUGCUGCCUGUCCAUUGGUACAUGUUGAUUGCCUCCUCUGCCUUGGAACUCAUUAAUUUACGAGCAAAGGGAAGCUCCCGACCCUGUUUAGGCAGAAUUUCCUCUUCCAGCUCCCUCAGGCCUGAAACAUAACCUUUCUGUGCCUCUUGGCGAAGUGCUCUCCAUCAUCUUUAUUUGAGAGGCAGGCUAGAAGCCAAGAGUGUUGCCGAAAUCUCGGCUGCUUCUGUACACCGAGGCCGAAGAAAGAUGCGGAGACAGAGUUGGAGGAACCAGGUUUAAUUGCCAGGCAAAGAGGGGAACACAGCAGGCUAGUGCCUCAAAGACUGUACCCCCUUAGGGUAGUGGGCGGUCUUAUAGUGUUUGAAGAGUAGGGCAUGAUCAGCUCGUGGCCAUGUUCUGGAUUGGUGGGUGGCGAGGUAAUUGCGAGUCAGCAUCGUCAGCCUUCUGGUUCGAAAGGUCUGGGGUCUACGUGCUUGUGGGCAGCAUACAGUUGACUGCUUCCACCGGUGGGGACUUCAGCACCUGCAAAACAGCUUCAAGGACAUGGCUCAGAAUAUUACCUUCGUUGAAGAACUGAAGGUCCUUGACUUUGUGGAAUGGCUGAAUUAUUACCAUUUUCUUUUUUUCUCUGUGUUUUUUCCCUUCCCUGAUUAAACUGGUUCUUUGACUAAAGUUUUUCUAUAGAUAAAAAAGGCAGGGGGAGGAUAGGUGUGGGGGUCCACUCUGGGAAGGCCUUACAGGGUCCUGCUUGGUUAUAAGAGCACAGGAUCUAGAAUCAGACCACCUGGUUUGAGCCCUGGCUCCUUGUGGGCAAGUGACUCACCCUCAGUUGCCGCAUCUGUAAAAUGGGAAUAAGAAUAGCACUUUGUAGGAUUGUUGUGAUGGUGAAAUCCCCCAUUAGGGCCAGGCCCCAUGAGCGUCACUGCUUUUUACAUGGCUGUGUUACCCCCUUAAACCGUGAAGUCCUCCAGGCACAUUCCAAUCCUCAAGGGGCUGCCAGGGUGCUGGUGGAGACAGAGUGUAAAAAAAAAAAGCAAAGACAGAAAUAAGUAAUAUAAUGUCAGAUGGGAUUGAGUGCAAUAAAGAAAAAUUAAAUGAGGCUAAUACAAUCAAGUGACCCAAGGAGCAUGUGGGUGUGGGUGUGGGCGAUAUUUUGAAUAAGAUGGACAGAGAAGGUUUUUCUGAGGAUUUGGCAUUUGAACAGUGGUCUGAUCCAAGUGUCCGCCUGGAGGACAGCUGUCCAGACAGAGGAGUCAGAGGGGUCAGCAAGUGCGGGAAUGACCUGGCUGUGUUUGGACAAGGAGGAGAGGAAAGGCAGAGCUGGGGGACAGGGUGAGGUGAGAGGGAAAGGGGGGAUACGGAGGGCAGACUUUGCGGCCUGGCCAGGAGUUUGGGGACGUGUCCUCCUUCCAGCAGGAGACACUGAGAGUUCUAAGCAGGGGAGUGACAUGAUUUGAUGUCUGACUCUUUGCUGUGUGGAAAGUCGAGGCAAGAGGAGGAGCUGGGGUAAAAGGGCACCAGGGAUUCUUGGACCUCAAGGAUGUGAGGUACGGGGAUGCAUUCUGAUGGCCUUUGCAGGGAGGUGGGCUACUCAGUUAUCAGUUAGAUAGCCUCCUGUGGUGGGCCAGAGAGUGUUCCCUCAAAAUUCACGUCCAUCCAGAACCUCAGAAUGUCCUUUUGUUUGAAAAUAAGGUUUUGGGGGAGUUUCCAUUAUGGCUCAGUCGGUUAUGAACCGGCUAGUAUCCAUGAGGAUGCGGGUUUGAUCCCUGGCCUUGCUCAGUGGGUUAAGGAUCCAGCAUUGCUGUGAGCUGUGGUGUAGGUCACAGGUGCGGUUCAGAUCUGGAGUUGCUGGGGCUAUAGCUUAGGCCAGCAGCUGCCGCUCCAAUUCCAUCCCUAACCCAGGAACUUCUAUAUGCUGUAGGUGUGGUCUCCUCCUCAAAAGACAAAAAAAAAAAAAAGAAGAAGAAGAAGAAGGAAAGAAAGAGAAAGAACGAAAGACAAGACAAUAGGUUUUUUCCCAAUGUCAUCGGUUGAGGACCAUGAGGUGAAAUCACCCUGGAUUUGGGAGGACUGGGAUCCUUGUACGAAGGGGAGAGGACACAGACACAGAGAAGAUGCCCCUGCAGAGGCAGAGGUUGGGGUCCUACAACCACAACUCAAGGAAUGCUCGGGGCCACCAGAAUCCGGAAUAGGCAAGGAAGGGUUCUUCCCUAGGGCCUUCAGGGGGGGGUGUGACUCUGACGACACCUUGAUUUUGGACUUCUAGCCUCCAGCAGCUCCGAGAAAAUACAAUUUCGGUUGCUUUAAGUGACCCAGUUGGUAAGUACUCUGUCACUGCAGCCACAGGAAACUCACGCACUUCCUAAGGGUCUUUGGGGUCUUCGGCGAGUGCACUGGAAUGGAGUGGGGGUCGUAUUGGGAACUCUGGCAGCUCUGCAGACCUCCCCUAACGUCAGGGAGCAUGGUCUGUUAACGUCGCUCUUCUGACCUUGGACGUCAUUUUUUCUUUCCUCCCUUUUAAACAUUCACUAGCUGGGUCAAGUUAGGAGAACUGGAGAAGCAAUCCAGAAGUAUAGUUCUCAGCCCCAGCAACAAAAAGCCGUUCUUCUGCUGGUUUAUUGCUACUGUUUUGUUUUGUUUAGAGGUUUAAAGUGCUGAAAGGGGAGAGGAAACUCCAGGCCACAAAAAUUUUAUUUCAUUGUCAUCCUGCCAGAGGCCCACCCCCUCUGCUCCUAUAAAUUUUUCUUGGCCUGUCCUGUAGAAAGUGUACAUGGCCUGUGAUCAAGCUUUUUUUUUUUUUAAUUAAACUAAUGGACUGUACUCUCCUCCAUAAAACACGGGUCCGGUUGGCAAUGCCCUGCCAAGCAUUGGUCUCUCCCCAGGAAAGCUGGCCCUUUGUCUUAGGUAUCACACAUUCCUGGGCACAUAGCAGGUUUGAACACAUAGUAGGUACUGAAGGAAAGCUUCUGGGUUUUUUUGGCUGCACCCAAGGUGCCAAAGUUCCAGGGCCAGGGAUGGAACCCACGCCACAGCAGUGACCCGAGCUGCUGUAGUGACAACGCUGAAUCUUUAACCCACAGCGCAUGGGAAACUCCUGGCACGAAUGCUUCUUUAAUUGAAGUCAGGGCUGAAACUCGAAACUGGUUAGGUCUGUGUACCUGGACAGUGUCAGUUUCUAUGCCUGCUUCUGUCCUGUGUCAUUGAUGAGUGUCCUACUGUUGACUUAGGAAACAAAACAGAAUAAUACACCAAGCACUGUCUUUAGUUAAUUAAGACUGUGCAGAAUAGGAUUCAAAACAGCUGUGUUUGCUGUUGGCGUGGCCGUUAUCAUCCCCGUCACACCCGGGUUCUGUCACAACAGUACCACAUUUGUAAAAACAAAAGUUUAGAAAGGAAAAGGAUGACUGUUCUCCCUCCAGCUACCAGUACAACCCACAGCCUCAGCUCCUAGUAGUUAUUUAAUUUUGUGUCUGGUAACAGGGCUCAGAGACAUUUCUGUGAAGCAGAUGUGUGAAGGGCUGAGCCUUAUGCAAGCUCAUUUCCUACAGAAACAAAGAUAUUCUGCAGCCUUAGAGGGGAAAGGGUUGUGACAUUACUCGAAGAUGCUUCCUUUUUGAAUGCAUUUGAGUAGCUUCACGGGUUUGUGUAGAACGUCAUCCAGUUUAUCACCUUUUGCCACAUUUCUUGUAAGCGAUGAACAGAGAAAGAGGAUGAAGGAGAAAAUAAAACGAACAGGGAAGCAGAAGAAGCAAAGGAGCAAGUAAAAAAAGACAAAACCGGGAGUUCUUAUUGUGGCUCAGCAAUCACGAACCCAACUAGUAUCCAGGAGGACACAGGUUCGGUCCCUGACCUUGCUCAGUGGGUUAAGGAUCUGGCAUUGCUGUGAGCUGGGAUAUAGGUCGCAGAUGUGGCUCAGAUCCUGCGUUGCUGUGGCUGUGGCGGAGGUCAGCAGCUGCGGCUCUGGUUCCACUCCUAGCCUGGGAACUUCCAAAUGCCACAAAAGUGUGGCCCUAAAACAAGAAGGACAAAACCCAAAAACCUCUUUUCCCAGCUUUGGAUGUAAAACUUAUCGAGGCAGGAGGAGAGUGAAAACAUCUGCCUGAAGUGAGAGCUGUCUGUAGGCUGCAUUCAGGUUAUCACAGGUCGCCUGGUGCCUGGAAUGCAGCCCUAACUGGGGUGAGGCUAGUGAGAUAUGUCUCUCGGGCUCCCAAUUUAAGGAGGAGCCCCCAAACUCAAUAAUCACGAUGGAUACGAUUUUCAACCCGAUGUAUUAAAAAAUAUAUAUAUAUCAUGAAUGCAAAGUAUCCAUGCUGAGCAACAUACCGAAUGUCGAGGACAGGGUCUGACACUGCCCUGGAAAACCGAACCUGAUUUACCUCCCGCUCUAAAGACACUGAGCGCUUGAAAGGAAAACUUUCUUCUUGCUCUAGGCCUGGCUUUGCUCUGGCUUUGAAUUCUAGUGCCUUUCCAGACCAGCUCUGUGACCUCAGGCUCAUGAAUCCACCUUUCUGAGCUGCCUUUUUGGGGUGAUUUAAAAAUUAGGCCUGUGAUGCACUGGGCACAUAGUUGAUGCCUGAUAAACCACAGCUCCAAAUAAGUCAUAGUUAUUUCCAAAGAAUUCAGGUCUUCAGGAGACCCAAGCAGGUCCUGCCUCUUACGCCUCUUAACACAGCACCACUUUCACUUUAUAGGAUGUCUCGGAGUAGAGCCUGUGCUUUGAACACUCCUACAUCCGUUCGACUGCUUGGUAACCCAUUUCCUGUUUAGUCAUAGCUCCUUGCCCUGGGCUGGGCCAUGAGCGGUGAACUUCCCUGUUAGGGCAACUCAGCCUUCUGAAGCCAUCCAGAAAUUAGGUUCGGGGGCGGCUUCUAUUUAGUAAGGCCUCCCCCGUCAUUGUGAGUCUCUCUCAAUAGCAUUUCCACACCUGAUGAUUCAUCUCAGUGACGCCGCACCUCUGAUUGUCACUUAAACUGUCCACCACCCUGAACUGGCCUCUGAAUGGCUCCGCAGAGAUGGGACCCCAUGUCCCAUAAGGUAGGACUGAAGCUGGCAUAGGAGGCCGCGUGAAAAUCUCCCCGGCAGGACGGUGGAGCGGGAAUCUGGUUACUGCUUGAUACAGAAAAGCGGAAAGCUCCCUAUUCCUUCUCCCUCAUUGUCCAAGGCAGGUGGAACCAUUUUUCCAGCCGGAAUUUCUUCUAAUCUGAUUAUAGUUGCACAGACGACAAACCCGAGCCCUGGGUUCAAUUCUUCUCCUCCUUCCUCCUAAGGAUGCAAAAUCAGAUGGGAAAAUGACUUCAACAUCUUCUCAGACUUCGAGGGUCUUGGUUAUCCCGAACCGGCCGUACCUUUUGGACACUCGAUCACUGCGCCCUGCUCUUCGGCGAGAGGCAGAUGUGAAGUUGGAACUACACAUUUCUGGUUUCAGUCGUGUGUGGGCUUUGGAUCUAAGCUCUUCUUUUCCACUUAAUUAGUUAAUAGGAAUUUAUUGAGCUGGGCGCAAAAUGAUCCACAAGCCUAGGAGGAUGUGAUUUUUGCCCCCGAAGUGUUUAUGAUGUGCUUGGGGGGAAUAAACUGUGCCGGGGCUGAGCCUUGAGUUUAUCCUCCUACUGCGUUUUUUUUAUGUUUUUUUUUUUUUCUGCCCUUGAAAUAUUGCUCAAAUCUGGUCUCCUCCUCUUUCACCCUCUGGGCAUUUGCUCUUGCUUUAGGGCUCUCUCUCCUCAUUUACAGCCCGGUCUGUAGAAGAGCCCUGCUGAGCUAUAUGGGAGACUUGAGGCAAGGAAAACUGCCCCCCUAGGUACACUUAUCAAAACAUCCUCCCAUAUGGAGAGCCAAGUGGGAAAAGUUAAUAAAAGCUCU
rnacentral:lncRNA from 1 species